AGCAGCCGCGGUAAUUCCAGCUCCAAUAGCGUAUAUUAAAGUUGUUGCAGUUAAAAGCUCGUAGUUGAACUUCAGGCCUGUCCAGAUGGUCCGCCUUAAUUGGUGUGUACUGUCCUUGGGUGGGUCCUACCUUCUGGCGAAGCGGCAUGGCCUUAGUUGGUUGUGUUGGGGAACCAGGACUUUUACUGUGAAAAAAGUUAGAGUGUUCAAAGCAGGCAUAAUAUGCUCGAAUACAUUAGCAUGGAAUAAUGGAAUAGGACGAUGGUUCUAUUUUGUUGGUUCUAGGACCGUUGUAAUGAUUAAUAGGGAUAGUUGGGGGCAUUAGUAUUCAAUUGUCAGAGGUGAAAUUCUUGGAUUUAUUGAAGACUAACUACUGCGAAAGCAUUUGCCAAGGAUGUUUUCAUUAAUCAAGAACGAAAGUUGGGGGAUCGAAGACGAUCAGAUACCGUCGUAGUCUUAACCAUAAACUAUGCCGACUAGGAAUCGGGCGAUGUUGACAAAAUGACUCGCUCGGCACCUC
rnacentral:misc_RNA from 1 species